GAAACAUUCUUAGGGGGAAGAAGAACACAAGCAAAAACCUAACCCUCACUUUAAUUUCAAAUCCAUGUAACUUUUGAUCCGGAGCUCCGAUUGACGAACCGUUUGCGACCACGCGUUCACCGUGACGAGCUCUAUGAAACCCAUGGAACAAUUUGGUUCAAGUUAGCUUUCGGAACUUGUGGGCUCAAGCUAUUGAGCAUAUGGGUAUGAUGCAGGUCGAGAGGCUCCUCGCUAGGCGUCUGGAUUCUGGAAAGCGAAGUAGUUCUUGGGCGUAUUUUGGGUUCUAUUUGUAUAUAUGUAUAUAUAUGUGUAGCUUACUCUCCAAGUAACUUAUGUAUGCUGCUCCUCUUAGAGGUUGAGGGAGAGAUAGGAGUUUACUUUGGUAUUUUGGUAUAUUUUGGGGACACUUAUGUAUGUUUAUAUGUAUAUAUGUAUCCUCCGGCCAGCCUUAGCUUCGCAGGCUGAGUCAGAGGCUAGUUAUGCUGUUCCUUGGCUUUUCUUUAUCCCUUCGUUUAUUGUU